UAAAUUAUGGUCAAUUGUUAGUAUUCAUAUUAAUUUUUUUAAAUGUUUUAUCAUUUUAUAAAGGUUUAUUUUUGAAAGAUUUUUUGUAUAAAAUUUUAGGAAUAGUUAAUAAUAAUUUAUAAUUUUGAUUAGAUUGUUUUGUUAAUGCUAUUAGAUGGGUGUGGAAAAAUAAAAAAAAUAAUUAAUAUAUAUCAAUAAUAAAUUAAAUUAAUCUAUUAGUCAGAAAUGGAUGCCAGCCGUUGCGGUAAUUUCUAUGCUUUUAAAUAUUAUACAAUUAUCAUAUUAAAUUGUUAAGUGUUGAUUUAACCAAUAAAAAUAUAAAUAAUUUUUAUUUGUUUUUAAACACCAUUAGGUAUAUGCAAAUAUAAAAUUAUAGUAAUUAUAAAUUAUAUUAUAUUAUAUUUAUUCAUAUAAUUAAUAGGAUAAUAUUUGUAGUUUUUGAUACCAUGAUAAGGAUUAUAAAUUGAAAGUGUUAAUAUCAUAAUCAAAAUUUAUUAUUUAUAUUAAAUAUGUAUGUGUAGAUAAAAUAAGAAAUUAAAAAGGUAUUGUUGCCCACCAAUUUUUAAAUUAUAUUAUAUUAUAUUUAUUCAUAUAAUUAAUAGGAUAAUAUUUGUAGUUUUUGAUACCAUGAUAAGGAUUAUAAAUUGAAAGUGUUAAUAUCAUAAUCAAAAUUUAUUAUUUAUAUUAAAUAUGUAUGUGUAGAUAAAAUAAGAAAUUAAAAAGGUAUUGUUGCCCACCAAUUUUUAUAAUAAAAAUAACGUGCAGUAAUUAAUAUAUUUAUAAAAAUAUAUUUUUUUUUUUA
rnacentral:misc_RNA from 1 species